UACGGGGGAUGCAAGUGUUAUCCGGAAUCACUGGGCGUAAAGCGUCUGCAGGUGGUUUCCUAAGUCCACUGUUAAACCUUGAGGCUCAACCUCAAAUCUGCAUUGGAAACUAGGAGACUUGAGUAUAGUAGGGGUAGAGGGAAUUUCCAGUGGAGCGGUGAAAUGCGUAGAUAUUGGAAAGAACACCGAUGGCGAAGGCACUCUACUGGGCUAUUACUGACACUCAGAGACGAAAGCUAGGGGAGCAAAUGGG
rnacentral:rRNA from 1 species